rnacentral:RNase_P_RNA from 1 species
GCGAGUAAUUGACCGCUAUGGUUUCAAACUAUAGAGGAAAGUCCAUGCUUGCACAGACUGUGAUGUCUGUAAUGUUUCUGUAGAUCAAAUAAAUAGAAUCUAGCACCUGUUAACUUGGUGACGGCGAUCUAAAUACCUAAGGUUAGUCAAAUAAUACGGUAAAUAGUCAUAAAGUGCCACAGUGACGAAUUAAUGGGAAACCAUUAAGUGAAACGCGGUAAACCCCAGAAGCAAGAAACCUAAAUUUCGGUAAGGGAACGGGCAAUUAUUAAACGAAUUAAUUGCUUGAUUAAUAAAGUAAGAUUUAUUAAUAGACAAAUGGUCAAUAUUGAUUUCGAAAGAUUUCAACACAGAACAUGGCUUAUGCU